GCCUUGUUAGCUCACUUGGUAGAGCGUUAGACUUUUAAUCUUACGGUCAUGGGCUCGAGUCCACCAUGGGGCU